CACUGUCACCCAGGCUGGAGUGCAGUGGCAUGAUCUCGGCUCAUGGCAACCUCUGCCUCCUGGAUUCAAGUGAUUCUCCUGCCUCAGCCUCCCAAGUA